GAUGAACGCUGGCGGCGUGCCUAAUACAUGCGAGUCGAGCGAACGGACGAGAAGCUUGCUUCUCUGAUGUUAGCGGCGGACGGGUGAGUAACACGUGGAUAACCUACCUAUAAGACUGGGAUAACUUCGGGAAACCGGAGCUAAUACCGGAUAAUAUUUUGAACCGCAUGGUUCAAAAGUGAAAGACGGUCUUGCUGUCACUUAUAGAUGGAUCCGCGCUGCAUUAGCUAGUUGGUAAGGUAACGGCUUACCAAGGCAACGAUGCAUAGCCGACCUGAGAGGGUGAUCGGCCACACUGGAACUGAGACACGGUCCAGACUCCUACGGGAGGCAGCAGUAGGGAAUCUUCCGCAAUGGGCGAAAGCCUGACGGAGCAACGCCGCGUGAGUGAUGAAGGUCUUCGGAUCGUAAAACUCUGUUAUUAGGGAAGAGCAUAUGUGUAAGUAACUGUGCACAUCUUGACGGUACCUAAUCAGAAAGCCACGGCUAACUACGUG
rnacentral:rRNA from 1 species